rnacentral:rRNA from 1 species
UACCCUUUGGUACGGAAUAGCCUCUGGAAACGGAGAGUAAUACCGUAUGAGCCCUUCGGGGGAAAGAUUUAUCGCCAAAGGAUUGGCCCGCGUUAGAUUAGGUAGUUGGUGGGGUAAUGGCCUACCAAGCCUACGAUCUAUAGCUGGUUUUAGAGGAUGAUCAGCAACACUGGGACUGAGACACGGCCCAGACUCCUACGGGAGGCAGCAGUGGGGAAUCUUGGACAAUGGGGGCAACCCUGAUCCAGCCAUGCCGCGUGAGUGAUGAAGGCCUUAGGGUCGUAAAGCUCUUUCGCCUGUGAAGAUAAUGACGGUAGCAGGUAAAGAAACCCCGGCUAACUCCGUGCCAGCAGCCGCGGUAAUACGGAGGGGGUUAGCGUUGUUCGGAAUUACUGGGCGUAAAGCGCACGUAGGCGGACUGGAAAGUUGGGGGUGAAAUCCCAGGGCUCAACCCUGGAACUGCCUCCAAAACUAUCAGUCUAGAGUUCGAGAGAGGUGAGUGGAAUUCCGAGUGUAGAGGUGAAAUUCGUAGAUAUUCGGAGGAACACCAGUGGCGAAGGCGGCUCACUGGCUCGAUACUGACGCUGANGUGCGAAAGUGUGGGGAGCAAACAGGAUUAGAUACCCUGGUAGUCCACACCGUAAACGAUGAAUGNCAGUCGUCGGGUAGCAUGCUAUUCGGUGACACACCUNACGGAUUNANCAUUCCGCCUGGGGAGUACGGUCGCAAGAUUAAACUC